CAACGAAUCUUCCCCAAUGCCGGAAACGGUGAGGGAGCGACGCCGCGUGAAGGACGAAGUUCUUCGGAAUGUAAACUUCUGUUAGGGUUCUGAAAGCAAUGCGCGUGAACAAUGCGCAAAGUUGAUCUGACCCAAAGAAAGGGACGGCUAACUCUGUGCCAGCAGCCGCGGUAAUACAGAGGUCCCAAGCGUUACUGAGAAUCACUGGGUUUAAAGGGUGCGUAGGUGGUCCGUUAAGUUCGUUGUGAAAUCCCCGGGCUCAACCCGGGAACUGCUUCGAAUACUGGCGGACUUGAGGCCAGUAGGGGUCACUAGAACUGACGGUGGAGCGGUGAAAUGCGUAGAUAUCGUCAGGAAUGCCGGUGGUGAAGACGGGUGACUGGGCUGGUUCUGACACUGAGGCACGAAAGCGUGGGGAGCGAACGGGAUUAGAUACCCCCGUAGUCC
rnacentral:rRNA from 1 species